UAGAAAUAGAUAUAGAAUUUUUAGAGGUGAUUUGGUGAUGUUUUGAUAUAACUAGAUUCGAAUGGAAACCUCAUAGGGAUUUGGAUGAAUUGAAUUUGAAUACUAAUUCUAGAAAUUUAGAAAAGGAAUAUUUGGAAGUUCUAUUCCUGAGUUUGAAGGAAAGAGGAAAAGUUUCUUAAAAUCAAUCAAAUGCCACACUCAUGUUGGUAUUUUAUGCAAGAUUUAUUUGUAAAAUUGGUU
rnacentral:lncRNA from 1 species